GCGUCCGAUUAGCUAGUUGGUGGGGUAGGAGCCUACCAAGGCGGCCAUCGGUAGCUGGUCUGAGAGGAUGAGCAGCCACACUGGGAAUGAGACACGGCCCAGACUCCUACGGGAGGCAGCAGUGGGGAAUUUUCCGCAAUGGGCGAAAGCCUGACGGAGCAAUACCGCGUGAGGGAGGAAGGCUCUUGGGUUGUAAACCUUUUUUCUGGGGGAAGAAGUCCUGACGGUACCCCAGGAAUCAGCAUCGGCUAACUCCGUGCCAGCAGCCGCGGUAAUACGGAGGAUGCAAGCGUUAUCCGGAAUUAUUGGGCGUAAAGCGUCCGCAGGUGGAGCGUCAAGUCUGCUGUCAAAGACCGGAGCUUAACUCCGGGCAGGCAGUGGAAACUAGCGAACUAGAGUACGGUAGGGGUAGAGGGAAUUCCCAGUGUAGCGGUGAAAUGCGUAGAGAUUGGGAAGAACACCAGUGGCGAAGGCGCUUUACUGGGCCGUAACUGACA
rnacentral:rRNA from 1 species